rnacentral:rRNA from 1 species
UACGUAGGGUGCGAGCGUUAAUCGGAAUUACUGGGCGUAAAGCGUGCGCAGGCGGUUCGUUGUGUCUGAUGUGAAAGCCCCGGGCUUAACCUGGGAAUGGCAUUGGAAACUGGCGAGCUUGAGUGUGGCAGAGGGGGGUGGAAUUCCGCGUGUAGCAGUGAAAUGCGUAGAGAUGCGGAGGAACUCCGAUGGCGAAGGCAGCCCCCUGGGCUAACACUGACGCUGAGGCACGAAAGCCAGGGGAGCGAACGGG